AGAUGUCCCGUGUGCUUGAAAAUGCUCAUAUUGUUGGGGGUAAAACUGUUAACCAGAUAAGGAGACUGGAGGGAACAUUCUCCACUGAGGGCACAAGUACCCAAGUGGCCUUGGACCAUCUAGAGUCUGUGCCUGAGAAACUGAGCCUCCUAGAAGAUUUCAGAGACUUCAGAGAUUCCUGCAGUUCAUCUGAGAGAAUUGAUGGGAGAUAUUCUAAAUACAGAAUUCACAGAGAUUCUCUUCAGCAGCACCGAGAUGACACCAAAUACAGAGUCAA